rnacentral:pre_miRNA from 14 species
CCCAGAGUGAGGGGCACCUCGAGGACUGUCUGACCUGAGAAUGGUGAUAGAUGAGGGUCAAUCUCAGGUUCGUCAGCCCAUGAGAUGCCUUCUCCUGAGCG